GGUACGGUGCGUAUCUUGAAUGUCAAAACGACUCUCGGCAACGGAUAUCUCGGCUCUCGCAUCGAUGAAGAACGUAGCGAAAUGCGAUACUUGGUGUGAAUUGCAGAAUCCCGUGAACCAUCGAGUCUUUGAACGCAAGUUGCGCCCGAAGCCUUCGGGCCGAGGGCACGCCUGCCUGG
rnacentral:rRNA from 2 species